rnacentral:rRNA from 1 species
CCCUUAGAUGUUCUGGGCUGCACGCGCGCUACACUGAUGCGCUCAACGGGUCAGGUUGCGCGAAAGUGUUUCCUAAUCUUUAAAUCCGCUCGUGAUGGGGAUUGACGGUUGCAAUUUUCCGUCAUGAACGAGGAAUACCUUGUAAGCGCGGGUCAUCAUCCCGCGCUGAAUACGUCCCUGCCCUUUGUACACACCGCCCGUCGCUCCUACCGAUUGAGUGGUCCGGUGAGGCUUUGGGAUCUGAGCGGAAAGAGCGUUUCGCUGUUUCUGCCCGGAAAACUCAGUCGAACCUUAUCAUUUAGAGGAAGGAGAAGUCGUAACA